CGUGCAGCAUGUGCAGUUAAGCCUUGUCUUCCGUCACGUGGAGUCGAGCAGAAUUUUAUGUUUGGCAUGCCGGCCGGCAUUCUUCGUUCUUUUCCCUUAUCCCUGGUGGCAGCAGUGAAGAAAGUUUGAAGACACAACAAAUUAAAAUCCAACAUGUGUGUUAGUUCAGGGCCUGUGUGUUGGUGGUGAAUCCAGGACCUGUAAGAGGUUGUACAGAUGUCAGACUGUUGGUGGGGCUCGAGUGUAAGGAAUCUUCAGAUAAACCUACACAUGUGAAACAGGGGCAUAUGGAUCAUUUCCACCGGAAAGAGUUGGAAGCAUUGCUCAGUGAAUACAAAUGCAGUAGCCUUUCGUCUGUCUUCCCAGCUGAUGUCAUCGGCUCUGAUGAAAGUGUCAUCUUAAGGACUUCAACCUGCGUUUGCGAUUCCUUCAACAAACUACUCUGGUUACUCUACAUACUGUCCACCGCUACAAGCAAGCGUGGGGCGGUCGGGUAGCCUCUCGGCCAAAGCGUUCCCUCAUCACAGCGAAGACCCGGGUUAAAUUCCCCACGUGGGUAGGGGGCACGGGUGGCCCAGUCUUCUAAGGCGCCGCGAUUCGCUGUGCAGAGUUGCGUCCCUUGGGCACGCCAGAAACCUAUGAUUGUGGGUU